rnacentral:rRNA from 1 species
AUGGGAAGUUUUUCACAAGUAAGAAUCUUUCUAAUGGCCAAAAUUGAGCAGCAGCAACAUGACUUACCGCAACACUCAAUUGAUCGAUCACAAACACGGAACAUGAAGAUGCUGACGCGAUGGGGGCAUGAAGUCUGUUGGGCAAUCUCCCCAUGGGAUUUUGGUGUUGAUAGUUGGGUGGUGCUCUCAUCGGAAAUAGGAAAAUGGCAUUGCCUCAUGGGAUUUUGGGUGAGGAAAGAAAAAAUAUCAGCACCCAAUAGGAUUGAAGUUUGGUUAUGGUCAAUAUAUCACAUAGUACAGAUGGUGCUACAUUGGACUCGAUGA